rfam:Rhodococcus sp. CTA-806 NODE_5_length_407969_cov_4.75619_ID_9, whole genome shotgun sequence.
CACGCCGAGUGCCGCGAGGCCUCUGCCCGAUCAGAACCCUGACGUUCUUCCCCAACGCCAGGUUUCGCAGAUCAGGACCCUGACGUUCUUCCCCAACGCCAGGUUCCUAUCGGACAGGGACCUCGCGGCAUUCGCCCCCAUCA